rnacentral:rRNA from 1 species
GACGAACGCUGGCGGCGUGCUUAACACAUGCAAGUCGAACGAUGAAGCUAGAGCUUGCUCUGGUGAAUUAGUGGCGAACGGGUGAGUAACACGUGAGUAACCUGCCCCGAACUCUGGGAUAACUGCUGGAAACGGUAGCUAAUACUGGAUACGACCUACGAAGGCAUCUUCUGUAGGUGGAAAGAAUUUCGGUUCGGGAUGGACUCGCGGCCUAUCAGCUUGUUGGUGAGGUAAUGGCUCACCAAGGCGACGACGGGUAGCCGGCCUGGGAGGGCGACCGGCCACACGGGGACUGAGACACGGCCCAGACUCCUACGGGAGGCAGCAGUGGGGAAUAUUGCACAAUGGGCGCAAGCCUGAUGCAGCAACGCCGCGUGAGGGAUGACGGCCUUCGGGUUGUAAACCUCUUUUAGUAGGGAAGAAGCGAAAGUGACGGUACCUGCAGAAAAAGCACCGGCUAACUACGUGCCAGCAGCCGCCGUAA